UGUGCAGCAGAAGAAACAACAGUCACUGCUUUUCCUUUCCCAUGGAGGUAUUCGGCCUUUGCCUGAAAGGUGUAACAUGUGUCCUCUUUUGGCUUAGAUCUGAUCUCUGUGUUCCCUUUCCUGUAACCAGGGUCAACAAAACACUGUGUCAGAUAUUGGUAAGGUUUAGAAAAUUCUUCCGGACUCCUGUAGUAAACCUUCCGGACGACAAGGCAAAUAAAGUCAGAUUUGCUCAUGGCUUGCUGGAUGUGAGAAACAUUAGCAUCACUUUUGAGCUUUCCAGAAAUUUAUCAGCUACUUAUGUAGACAUAUUACGCUGUCUUGAUUUAAAUUAUUAAUUGUUCUCACUCCUGGUUCUAUCUAAGUGAUUUAAACCAGGUUCCUUUAUGACAGAAAGAAGGCACGCUCUCUGAAAAAGGACUAAUUCUAAAACGGUUUUAGUUUGUCUUCGUAAGUGAAUGAUCAAAAUAAUUAGUGAUCACAAGUGAUUUGAUCAUUUAUCAUGUAAUAUUAACAAGCAGUGGGUCAAAGUGUGAGAGGAGAACUUAUGUGCCACAGAGUAGCAAUAUUUUUGUGCUAUGGUUUACAUUGUUAAGCAAACUAAAAUAAGCAAAUCUUCAUGCCAGGGUCUUAGUUAAUGUCAUCUUGCUUGGCUGAGAAGCCCACACCAUCUCUGAGCAGACAUAUUUUAAGAGAGCAUUAGGGCAUGCAUAUUUUUAGGAUGCUAAUAGACUCUCACCCCCUUUGAUUUUAGCUGCCAGAAAUUAUGAUUCAUAGUUCUUGAUAACACAGAACAGAAAACAUUGCAAAGGGAGAGAAAUUCUAACAGAUUGCUUAGGGAUGAUUUCUGAGUGUCAGUUGAUCAAACGUUUCUCUUUCAUUCCUUCAGCAAAAUGUGCACUUCUGUUUUGAAAAAUUAGUACAGAAAAAUCUUUAUUUUUUUCCCUUCUAAUACCUUCCAACCAUUAACAACUUUGCAAUCGCAUUUAAAAUUAUAUAAAAUUAUAUGAAAGACUAUAUAGCAUUAUAUUUGUUUAUAAUAACAAAAAUGACAGCUCAAAGGGACCUACCUAGACAAGGUUUCAGAAGAACAAAGGGCAGGACUUAUUGACUCCAUUCCCUUUUACAAUAAUAUUCUAAAGAAUAUAACAGUAUUAUAUGUUUCCUCUGUCUUUCUAGAUAAGGAAAAAUCUAGACCAUUAAAUAUCUGCAGUAGAAUAGAAUAAUAUUAGAAUAGACAAUUUCAAAAUAUAUGGUCAUCUUUUGAAUUAGCUGUAUUAUUCUAGAAAAAGAUGGGGUUGACAAAGAAUUCCUUAAUCAUAACCAAGGCCUAAAGUAGUCUGUCUUGAAUAUCAAAUUUUUCUUUUUCAUAAGACAUUUUGUUUUUAAUUAUGUGUAGAUGCGAGUGUGCAUGUGGGUGUGUACAUAUGAUUACAGUGCCCCGCAGAAGGCCAGAGGCAUAGAAUCCCCUGCAGUUAGUAUUAGAAACAAUUUCAGCUGCCCAACUUGGAUACUGAGAACUGAAUUUGGUUUAUCUGUAAAGUCUGUCUAUACACCUCUUCAGCCCAAAUAUCAAUACUUACCCACAGUUUUGACUUGAAAAGUACAUAUUUAUACUUCACUGGUUUUCAAGUAAUGCUGAUUUUUCUCCUUUGUGUCCCCUCCCCAUUGUUUAGACUAGAAGCCCUAGUCGCCUAUACAGAUCUACAAUCUUCUUUUCUUAAAACGCUCAUUACUGUACACAGGAGUGCGAAAGGGACACUAUUCCUAGUAAGAAAUGUGUACCAUUUAGUUUUUAACACAAAGGGUUGGUGUGAUGGAAUUUUUCAGGCAUGAGAAAACAUAAGUAAAUGUCUUGUUAGCCAAUGAUCAGACAGAAUGAAACAAAAUAUACAUGUAGUGCAUUACGGAUUGAAGUGUGCAAAGCACUCCCAUUUUAAUUAAAAUUUUAGAGGAAAACUCAUUCACAUGAAUUAAUAGCAAGAUUUUUUAGCAGGUUUCAUAAACGGUGACAAAAUUUACAUCUUUGUAUUCAAGAAGAGUAUAAAGUACAGAGUGAAGAUGUCUACAUAUGUCGACUCCUUUCAACAUGCGCCAUAAAUAGCAAAGCUCCGUGGAUAUUAAAUUAUGUGAGAGCAGAUGACUCAUGAGUAACUGCAAAUACCUGACCUGCUUCCACACGUUGCUUACUUUCUAAAAGGUAGCAUGGAAAGACAACACUGACAUAGCAUCCGGAGGAAUGACUUACUUGCUAAACAAUGCUCUGGGCUACAGGAAAUUCAGCCCAGGGUCAAGGCAACAUCUGAAGGAAACAAGACCCUUUCAAGCCAGGAGCCUUGGAGUUCAGUAGGUUCUUACCCUGCACUGUUUGCUUGUCUCCUCAAAGCAUUCUGCAUCUUCCUAUUUCUGUAGGAUAGUAAAAGGCUUUACAUUAAAAUGUACUCCACCAGUCAGAGAUGUCAAGACAAGAAAAUCAAUGAUAACAAAUAGCACAUAUGUGUGUUAUACGUAUCCAGAAAGCUAAUGAAAUGAAUGAAAUAAAACUUUGUUCUGUUAGUCUUCAUUGUCAAUGAAAUGCAUAAAAAACUUAUUUUUUUGUCCUUUGUAGGAUAUUCUGUUUCUCCCUGAUUGUUCUUGCUUACUGUAGAUGAUUCAUGGUUCUGUUCCUCUCAAUAUCCUGACCAAGAGAGAAGCAACAGUCUAAUUCCUCAGACACAUCUACCUGGUAACUAAGAAAUGGGCAGUUGACUGAGGUCUCUAUAAUGUUGGACCUCACUGGGUCCUAAGAUGUUCACAAAGAUCCUGAGAACUUAGGCCAAUAUACCAAGAUCUUCUCUAGGGUUCAAUCCAACUCAGAUGACAGCUACAGAAAAGAAGUUUGUCUAUUACAAUAAAGGUAAGGUAUCCAUAUAUACCCUGCCAUCUUGUAUGUGAAAAAUAGGACCUGGAAGUGUGAAAGACCUGUCAAAGGGCUAAGAGACUUCCUUCUUCCUUCCAAGGCUAUACAACUAAACAAAAUGAUUCCUUUUGCUAAUAAAGUCUACACAUUUCCUAACUUCCAAAACAUUUUCUUUUAUUUUAUUGUGUAAUCAGUUUCUAGUAGUGCUGAAGUCACCCAACACUAAAACAUAGCUUGAAUGUGUGAUCAGACAAGACUUAAGUAUUGGGAUCCUUCACCCUUCUUUUCUCUCCUCUUUUUGGUUUUGCCAAAACAGGGUUUCUCUGUGUAGCCCCUGGCUAUCCUGGAACUUACUUUGUAGACCAGGCUGGCCUUGAACUCUCAGAGAGCCACCUGCCUCUGAGUCCUGAGUGCUGGGAUUAAAGGUGUGUUCUAGCUUGAAUCUUUAUUCUUGUUCAGCAUUAGCCCUACAAAGUAAAGUAUGCCAAAUUCACAAUUCUAUGUAGAGUGGGAAUGAGUAAUUCUCAGUGACAGGGUCUGUUCUCCACUAGUAUUUGCUUCCCAAAGGACACAAGACAACAGGCACACUGGGCCCUCUCCCUCUGCUUCUUCUACUCUGGGCCUCUUAAGGAGUAUCACAGAUGGACAAAUGUGACCCAGGUUAGAGUAGCAAAUGAAUGGUAGGUGGAAAGGGAAGGAACAGCCUUUCUUUUGAGCUUGUUUGUCUAAUUAUCCUUUUCUGCAUUGUGUGUGUGUGUGUGUGUGUGUGUGUGUGUGUAUGUGUGAAUCUACAUCCUAAUUUUCUAUCGAUUCUAAAUCUAGACAGAAAGAAAACAGUUACUUAUCUUGUCUUUUUUUUUUUUUUUCGGAGCUGAGGACCGAACCCAGGGCCUUGCGCUUGCUAGGCAAGCACUCUACCACUGAGCUAAGUCCCCAACCCCAGCAGUUACUUAUCUAAUUCUCAAAACCCAAGCUGAUGAUACUGAGACAUGAUGAUAAGAAGGUAACCUUCAAAGAGCCAGACCUUACCAAUGGCAUUCCAAUAUGUUCUUCAAGCUCAUGCCCAUUUCAGAGUUGUGGAUAUGACACAAGAAUCCCUCCUUGAGCCCCUAUCAGGACCAGUUACUUUGUGACUGGUUGCUUGCCUCAUACCCGUGCAUUUAGAUACCCAUAAUUGAAAGCCAGAGGAUUUCCCUUCAAACCCUGCAUAGCUCAGGUCUGACAUCUGUGGGCCAUCUCUGCCCUUGCUUUCCUCAGCAUCAUCUGGGCAAAUGGAUAACUGGACUUGUCAAUCUCAUCUCCAAAAGAGCUUUGGAGCCCAUCUGCUGCUAGCCACCCUCCAUCCGCCACUGUCCCACCCUCCAUCCGCCACUGUCCCACCAUCCAUCCUCCACUGACGUCACCUUGUUCUCAUCCAUCAUCAUUUUGAUUCCUAUGGAGUUUAUCUCUACUGUGAUAAGUUCCUAAUUGCUCUUUUUAUUUAUUGUUUCCUCAUAAAUCUAUUUUAUACUGAAUAGCCACAGUAAACCAUGUGAGCUUUUUCUGACUUGACUCUUUUGGUAUUUUCCACAUCACACAUAGAAUACAAUCUAACCCUUGUCAUAACCCACAAGGCCCUUUGUGCUGUGACACCUGAUGAAUCCUCCUGAUUCUCUCCCCAUCAGUAACUGUGCUCCAAGAUCCCCAUUGUCUUUGCUUCUAUUUCAUCCUGACUUUAUUCAAUGCCUUGAUGGAGUUCAUGUUUCCCUUGACUUGAAGCUUAUGCAUCUGUUAUGUCUAAAAGUUAUUUUGUCUGGAUAUAUCAUAUCUUUCCUGACCAUUUAUUUAGAAAGAUCUUCCCCCUUUCCUCUGUCAUUUUUUAUGGUAGUCAUUGUUUUUAAUUAUCCUUUUAAUUUUAACACUUGCCAGUUUCUAUAUUUAUGCAUAAAUUUACUUAACUACUUUUAACUCUAAGAAAUCUCAUCUUAAACAGUACAUUGAAUCGCAUUUAAUGAGUGAAUGGAUCAGGUAAGAAUGUAUUUAUCAUUCAGGUGUGCUGAACUCAUAUACACAGUUACACUGAGUGAAUAUCUUGUAGAGGCUAAUUCCCUCCUCUAUGACAUUAAUAAAAUUCUCAGGAGAGAACAAAGCAGGACAGAGUUCCAGAGCUGGCUCUAUUCUCUUUCUCCAAGUUGAGUCUUUCAAAUACAAGAGUACAGUUUGUGCCUAGUAAGCUAGACUAAAUGUUCUUGUUUCUAAGUGCAACUAUAUAUGUAUUGUUAUGUAUCCACUGAAGUGACUCCUGUUAACAUGUCCUGCAAAAUUGCCAUUUUAUGCAUUCACUGUCUGUGCUUCAGGGAGAGAAGUUUUGUAAUCCUUCCUAACUCUGGGUGUGAAACAUUUACCAGAAUUUCUCUUUGAUUAUUGAAAACAUUCUUCUGUAUAAAUGCUCUUGACUCCUGGUAAGAAACGUUGCAGUACAUACAGACUUCCUUACCUGAUUGCAGGGAUGCAGAAUAGAGCUCAAUCUGAUUCCCUCCCUGCACAUCUUCUCCAUGUCCUUUUCCUUUCCUCCUCCUUUCUUCCUCCCUUUUCUUUUCCUCAUCUACUCUUUCUCUUAUCCCCUCCUUCCCCAACCCUUCCAUCUAAUUCCCUUCAUCUCUCCCUGUCUUCUACUGCCCCUUUUCUUCCUCUUUCCUUUCCCCUCCCUCCCUUUCUCUUCCCUUCCCUUUCCUUUCUUUUCUAUUCCCUCUUUUCUUUUCCUCUUUCCCCUCUGUGCCUCCUCCUCCCUUUCCCUUUGACUUUCCCCUCUUUUUCUCAGUGCUCCACAUUAGAAAUAAUAAAAUUCCAAUAAUAUGUGGUCUAAAAAGUCUAAGUUUCUUUCACACAUAUGCUGAGACUGAUGAAAUGAAAUAAUUUGAAUGCUGGCAAUUUUCUUGGUUUGAUAGUAUUGAUUAAGCACAUGUUCAAUCAUAGGCACUAUGCUAAGUCUAUGUACAAAGCUUAAUGCUGAUAAAGAUGCUUCUUCCUAACAAAGAACAAACUGUCUUUCUAAGUACCUUGUAUAUGGCUUUAACAUUGGCAGAGGGAAGGGCAACCUGCAAACUUUCCUUCCACCAUCUUUCAUUCUCUGUAAGUUAUUUCAGAGAAGUCAGCCUGAGAUCACCAUGGAUACAGCAACUGGACAUUUCAGAGAAAUUCUCCUGCAUUCAUUGAAGUGCAACUGUGGUUUAAAAAUAAUUGUGGAAUGUAAACCAUCAAUUGAAAACACGCUGAAGAGAUGAUUAAGUUGGUCAAGUGCUUGCCGUGCUAGCAUGAAGCUCUGAGCUUGAUCUCCAGACCUCAUUGGUACAGGAGACAACUUCCUGAACAGAAUGGCCUAGGCUCUAAGGUUAACAACUGAUAAAUGGAACCUUAUGAAACUAAAAAGCUUCUGUAAGGCAAAGGACACAGCCAAUGGGACUAAACAGCAGCCUGAAAAUUGGGAGAGGAUCUUGGCCAAUCCUACAUCCAACAGAGGGCUAAUAUCCAAAAUUUAAAAGGACUCCAGAAAAUAAACCUCAACAUUCCAAACAACCUAAAAUGGACACAGAGCUACACAGAGAAUUCUCAACAGAGGACUCUCAAAUGGCUGAAGAGCAUUUAAAGAAAUGUUCAAAGUACUUACUCAUCCGGGAAAUGCAAAUCAAAAUGGAAUGCAGAUUCCGUUUUACACCCAUCAGAAUAGCUAAGAUCAAAACACUCAAGUGACAGCACAUGUUGGUGAGGAUGUGGAGCAAGGGGAACUCUCCUCCAUUGCUGAUAGGAGUGCAAAGUUGUACAACCGCUUUGGAGACCAAUUUGGUGGUGUCUUAGAAAACUUGGAAUAGUUUUACUUCAAGACUUAGAUGUAACACUCUUGAGCAUAUACCAAAAAGAUACCCCACUAUACUCUAGGGACAAUUGUUCAUCUAUGUGGAUAGCAUUUAAUGGCCAGAAACUGGAAAAUCAUAUAUGCCCCUUAACCUAAAAAUGGAUAAAGAAAAUGUGGUUUAUUUGCAGAAUCAAAUACUAUUCUCAAUUUAGAAAAAAGACAUCAUGAAUUUUCUAGGCAAAUGGAUAGAGCCUGAGAAUACUAUCCUGAGUGACGCAACCCAGAACCAGAAAGACACUUAUGGUAUAUACUCACUUAUAAGUAGAUAUUAGACAUAAAGUGCAGGACAACCAGACUACAAUCCCCAGACUCAAAGAAAAUAGAUAAUAAAAAGGUUCCAAGGGAGGAUGAACGAAUCUCAUACAGAAGGGAAAACCAAAUAGUCAGGGGGUGGGGAUAGAAAGAGAGAACUGGGAAGGAGAGGAAGUGAGGAGGGGAACAGGAGGAUUAGAAGUGAGAAUGGGAAUUGGUACAGGGCGUCUCUGGGGACCCAGGACAGGAGAGAAUAUGGGGAGUCUGUGAGAGUCUAUAUUCCUCUCACAGAGAGGGGGAUAUAGAGACUGAAGUGGCCACCUCCUGUAGGCAGGCAGGACUUCCAGAGGACGGCAGGGGCAUCAAUCUACCCACAAAACCCUCAACCCAAAGUUUGUCUUCUGUACAAAAUGUGCAGUGGUGAAGAAGAAGCAUACAUUGAGGGAACGGCCUACCCAUGACAGCCUCAACCUGAGCCCCACCCCAUGUGAGAGAACCAGCCCCCGGCACUAUUAAUGAUGCUUUGCUAUGCUUGCAGACAGGAACCUAGCAUAACUGUCUCUUGAGAGGCUUCAUUCAGCAAUGGAUGUAGGCAGAUGCAGACCCCACAGGCGAACAUCAGGCAGAGCUCAGGAAGUGGAGAAGAACAGAGAUGGAAGUGUGCAAGUCAAAGAGGUUAAGCACACCACAAGUAUACUCAUAGAGUCACCUAAUCUGGGCCUAUGGGGGCUCAUAGGGACCGAGCCACCAAUCCUGGAACACGCAGGAGCUCAAUCUAGACACCCUACACAUUUGUAGCAAAUGUGCAACUUGGCCUUCCUGUGGGUUCCCUGAUAAGUGGAAUACGGAGUGUCUCGGUCUCUGUUCCCUGCCAUUGCAUCCCUUCACCUCCUUCUUGGACUACGUGGUUGGGCUUCAGUGGGAGAGGAUGUACCUAGACCUCCUGAAAUUAGAUGUCCCAGGGUGGAGUGGUACCCACGGGAAGCUCCCCUUUUUGGAGGAGAAGCAGGGUGCAUAGUGGGGAGGGAUUUGUAAGAGUAGAACUGGGAAGAGAGGAGGGAGCAGGCUCUGACCAGCAUGUAAAGUGAAUUUUAAAAAAUGGAAUAUAUACAUAUAUAUAUAUAUAUAUAUAUAUAUAUAUAUAUAUAUGGCACAGUUUAAUCUUAACACUCAGGAGACAGAAGCAAGUGGAUCUGUGUGAAGUUAAGGUCGUUUUCUCAAUAUUGAGAAUUCCAGGCUAGCUAUGGGCACACAGUGAAAGCUGGUCUCACCUGGGAGGUGAAAGACUCUCAAGCCUCAAAGGGAGGGACCUUAGAUGAAAUGCCCUACAGUGGGGAGACGGAACUUGGAGAGUCCACCUCCAGUAGAAAGACAGGGCUCAAGUGGAAGGAUGGGGUUGCCAUCCCACAGUCAAAAACUCUGACCCAGAACUGCAGGGACAAAAAUGGAGAAGAGACUGAGGAAAAGGAGGUCCAGUGACCAGCCCAACUUGAGAUCCAUCUUAAGGGGAGGCCCCAAGGCAUGACACAAUUACUGAUGCAUAUACAGAAAGGAGUCUAGCAUGGCUGUCCUCUGAGAGGCCCAAAAAGCAGAUGACUGAGUCAGAAGCAGAUACUGACACCCAACCACUGGACUAAAGUCUGGACCUAUGGUUGAAUUAGAGAAAGGCUGGAAGAAGCUGAGGAGGAGGAAGUCCCUAUAGGAGGACCAGCAGUCUCAACUAACCUGGACCCCCGAGAUCUCUCAAACACUGAGCCACCAACUAGGCAGCAUAUGCCAGCUGGUCUGAGGCCCCUGACACAUAUACAGCAGAGGAUUGCCUGGUCUGGCCUCAGUGAGCACUUAACCCUGGAGAGACUUGAGAACCCAGGGAGUGGGGAGGUUUGGGGAGGGACCUCCUCUUGGAGACAGGAGAGGAGGAAUGGGAUGAAGAAGAGUGGGAGGGCAGACCAGAAGGUGAGUUAACUACUGGACUGUAAAACAAUAAAAGUAAUAAUAAUAAUAAUAGUAGUAAUGAAGAUAGAAGGCAGAUACUUGGAACUCCCUGCUUAGCCAGCUUAACCUACUUGGCAAUCUCUAGUCCAGUUAUUAGAGCAUAUAUGUGGGUGGUUAGGUGGGUGGGGAAGUACCCUCAUAGAAACAGGGGGAGGGAGGACAAAAUAAGGGGUUUCUAAAGGGAAAACCAGGGAAGGGGAUAACAUUUGAAAUGUGAAUAAAUAAAAUAUCCAAUAAAAAAGAAAAAAUAUAUAUAAAGAAAAUAUAAUAUUACCAGAAUGAAUACAGUGUUUUUGCUGUUUACUGGAGAUUAAAGUACUAUAAAGAAAAGCCCCCUAGAAGGAAAAGUUAGACCACUUACAGCUGUCUGAAAAGCCUCCUUUGCAUCCGGAGUGUGCGUUCAUGAAUGCAAAGUUCCCUUGAGAGGAGCCAGAUACCUGUUCUCCAACCUCAGAAAUGAAACGUUUGCUUUACAAUCAGUAUCUUAACGCCAUCGUGAACACUGAAAACAAAAGCAGGUAGUUUCCGAGGCCCAGUGCCCUGCUUUUAGAGUGGGCCUCUUUCCUAUGCCGCUGUGAUGCAGAAUUGAUCUUCGGCAUGGAAGAUAUGGGUUUGCAGUUAUGUGAGUUUAGAACAGGAGUGAGAAUUUUGAAAAUCUCUCAUCCUCCAUAUAAUGUGACACAUGAGCCUGACAGAUAGGGCAUCUUGUGAUGUGUUAGCUGAUCACAUGACAAAAGCCGCAGGCCGAGGAUCCCCUUUCUGAUUUGUAAGGAUUUGGUUCUGGGUUCUGAGUCACUAGGUAAAUUUUAAACAAACACCCAGGCAGUGUGACUUUGCCUAGGAUGCUGUCUUCAAAGAAAGCCAUUUUUUUGUUGCAGUGUUACCAGAGGCCCUGAUAGAUCGUGGGCUAUGAACAGGCUGAUGCGUAUUUUACUUUCUGGGGUCAUGGACACACUGGGUACCCAUCAAACUGACUGAAAUGAAAUCUCUAACCAGGUGUCAGUGAGACUGCAAGAAGCAACUUGGGAGAUUUCUCUGGGAAACUCUGGGAAGACUGGUUUACAAACAAUGGUUGGCGGGAUUAUGUUAAUCUAUGGAGAUGUUUCUCACAGGGCUAUAUGUAAUGAAAUAUCCUAGGUACAGCAAAAAGCUUGAACUAUAUGCAUUUCAAAGAAUUUUUUUGGUGUUUAGAUGCUACAGAGACAUAUGAUAACAACGGACCCCUCUGAAUGUCUUUCUGUGUGACAGAAACAAAGUGGAUUCUGCACCUUUAGAAAACAUAUUGCCCAGCCAGCGAGAGCAGUUCAGCGUUUGCACGCAGAGCUGGUAUGGAUCCCCACGCCUUCAUGCAGACCUCUGGAGACAGUGCCUCCUGCUCCUCAGGGCUGAUCCGAACACCGGACAAGUUAAGUUCGUGUUUUUAGAGCAAGAUAUAUAUAUAUAGUCACGAAAUGGCAGGUUCUUUUAAUGAAUCUCUUGACUUCUUUUUAAAUCAGCAUCCCCCCCCCCCCGCUUAUAUUUCUAAUUGCUGGAUUAUAAAAUUCUGUCCAAUCGCCCCAGAUACAGCAUAGAAGAAAAGCAAUUCCAAUGGGAGAGCAGAGAGGAGUGGCUUGAUGAAAUGGGGGUGUGGUCAGAGAUGUGAAGGCGGGGACUUCAGGGAUGGUGUGAAGGAGAGCUUUGAACAGUAAUCUUAUCUGGCUGAAGGUUUUCCUGCCCACCGCGUCCUAUCUAGAAAGCUCGUUUUAUUAUUACUCAUUCAAAAAAAAAAUCUACAUUUUACUAGAAAAUAGAUGAGAUCGGAAACUUAAACAUUGACUUUAUGUUUAAAGGACGUUAAAGUUGUUCCUAAAGCAAUGCGUUAUGAAAGGUGACAACGCAAAGAACAAUGUUAUUGUUUCUUUUAAAAUGUGAACUUUUUGGGUAUGGGGGUUCGUAUCUUUGAUUCCAGCCUGCUCUACAUAGCUAGUUCCAGGUCAGCCACAGACACACACACACACACACACACACACACACACACACACACACGCUCACACACACUCAAUGCCAUGUUUCACAUGUCAAAAUAUCAAAUUUUAAGGCCUGCUUCUUUCUAAAAUGAAGUCAGUGGGAGACAAGUUGGAUAGAAGGACCCUUACAGGAAAUAGUGGUUCUUGGUUCCUUCCAUGGCUUUAUAACUUCCUGUCUGUGGAACGACCAGUUGCUUGCUUCCUUCCUUCUCUUCUUGAGUGGAUUACCAACUCCUACCACUGUUAACCCUGAUCCAGGAAGGAACGUCUGUCUGCAUCAUUCUGAGUGGGCUUUCGUUGCCUCACAUAUGUUCAGCUCUUGAAAACCUGUCAAAAUGAAAGACCAGAAGAUGCAGGAAGGGUGCCAGGCAAGAGUGUGGUCAGUGACCAGCCUGUGCUGAACAGAGGAAGACUCCUGAUGAUUCAGUACUCAUGUCUACGAAGGAGCUUCACCUUUCCCCGAGGAAGUGACACGGGCUGGGAAUGGAGGACGGCCUAACUUCUAGAUCUGAAAUACGUUUUCAGCGCUCCAUCCUAUUGACUAGUGCGGGUACCAGAGCCUGUAGAUGCUUUUGCACUACUGCCUCAGAAGAUGCUGUCGUACCACACGUUCAGAACGGCUGUGUUUCUAACAGGAUCUGGGGAACAAUCUGACACCGGUGAUCCCAGGAUCGGUGAUCCCAGGAUUCCUGCUCUGAGUAGUUAACACACCCGGAAUAUGACUUGGGUAGGAAGAGGAAAACAUAAACACAGAUAUAUCUUAAUUGUUUUUUUCCUCUAGCUUGGCUAUCCUUCUCAUUUACUCUCUCUUGUUCUCUUACCUUUCUACUUGGAUAGAUUAUACUUCUUAUUGGAGAGAAAGUGAGGCUGCUUUAGACUUGUACACUUAAUUGUAUUUUGUUAUAAUAGAUAGUUCCAGACCAGCCAUGAUACUCGUGUACACACACACACACACACACACACACACUCACACAGACAGUUACACACACACUCAUACACACACUCACACAUACUCACACACUCACACACAGUCACACACACAUACACACACACUCAUACACAUACUCACACAUACUCACACACACUCACACACUCACACACAGUCACACACACACACUCACACACACACACACUCAGUGCCAUGUUUCAAAUAUAAAAAUAUCAAAAUUUAAUGCCUGCUUCUUUCUAAAAUGAAGUCAGUGGGAGACAAGUUGGAUAGAAGGACCUGUACAGGAAAUAUUGGUUCUCGUUUCCUUCUAUAACUUUCUAUCUCAUUGUUGUAACUUACUUUAAUAUUUGAGAUAUGUAGUGCAGUUUGGCCUAAAGCCUGCUAUGCCACCCAGGAACUCACAGCUCUCAUGCCUCUGUCUCCCAAGUGCUGUGAUCAUAGGCGCCUGUCUAGUCACAUAGCAAUUUUUAUCUUUGGAUAUUGCCAGAAGUUCUUUGAGAAAGCUAUUUUAUAUGAUGCUGUCAUUGGUACUUUGUCAUGUUAAAUUUCCUCUACAUGAUUAAGUAUCAGCAGUCACCUGGGGCAGGGGCCCCAUGUGGCCCUUUCUGCCCAGUUGUUCCAGGGAUGGUGUUUCCUAGCCUUUGUUUUGUCUCAGCUGGUGUCUGUCACAGGUUGACAGGAGGUGGUAUCCUCGGACUUCCUCUCUAGCAAGUCACUCUGGAUUGGUAACCGUUGUGUAGCUAUGAGAGUGUCCAUGGCCCACGCCGCAGUAUAGGACUGCGUUGAGUUCUUUGCUGUGUACUUCCACUGGAGACCAUGCUGAAGUCCACGGCACAUGCUGGGGCCAAAGGCUAGGUGGACGUCCACGGACUGUGAUGUCACCAGAAACCAUAUAGAAGUCCUUGCUCCAGUUGACUGGAAAGGGCAAGGAAACUUCUUUUACAGUCAUAUUGAUGACUACAGACUCAUAGUUGAGAAUAAGAAAUGUAGAAGGCUUCUCUGGCAACCCCUCCUGCACCUCCCCCACCAAAGGAAGCAACAGCCUUGACAGAAAGCCACUGAAGGGAACUCUUAAAAUUUCUGAUAGGGAUUCUGAAGUGUAGCUCUCUACCAUCAAUGGCUUCGGGUGGAGAUGCAGGUGGGGAAGGACCGGUUUUCUUUAAGAACCUGGCCACUGGGAGUAGGAACAAGCUCCAGUGAGCACACAGGCAACACAUAUUGGAUUUGUAUUUUUUUUUUUCCGGAGCUGGGGACUGAACCCAGGGCCUUGCGCUUCCGAGGCAAGCGCUCUACCACUGAGCUAAAUCCCCAACCCCUGGAUUUGUAUUUGUUUCUUCUUCUUUUUGGGGGAGAUGUGUGAUCACAGGGUUAUGGGGUGGUUCUGGGAGGACUAGGAAGUGAGCAUAGUUGGCUGGGGUGCAUUAUGUGAAAUUCUCAUAACCAAUACAAGUAUUAUGUUGAAAGAAAAGGAAGUCGUCCUGUAGAAAAGACACGGCCACCCGGUGGCUUUCCAUGUGGAAGCACCCACUAGGCUUUCAGAUAAAUAUUCUCCCUCCCUCCCUCUGCAUCUAGGCUUCAGAUUGAUAUUCUCUGUCUCUCCCUCUCCAAGCAAGGGCAGUAUCCAAAUGACGUCAUCUUUGUGAAGAGUCCAUUGCACGCUUGAAUGUGCAUGGGCCAUGGCUCUGAAGAUGCGCUGCACUCCAGGUCCAUAAUAAAUAUAAUAAAUAUAUAAUGACAUAUGUAGACAACUCGAUUCCUACUUUCAACCCUGGGCAGUUUGGGGAGAAAUUUCAUUUUUGGUUUUGAUCUCUCAUGCUUUCUUUGUGUGAAGAAAAGAAUUUACACUGUUACCUUUUCCUCAACCUUCCCAGCCAAUAGCGCUUUCAACAUUAGCAGAUUCCCACAGGCUGCCAAGGGACACACGUAUUCUCACGCCAAGUACCCCUUUAUGGGCUUCAUGGUAUUUUAGAAAGUACAGAUUGAGACCUAAGGAUACUGAUCUUAUCUGCAAAGCAUAUGUAGGUAAAUUCUUUUGUUUUCGCUGUGCAUUCUCUGAGAUUAUAACAUUACCUAGAAAUGGGGAGCAAAACACCAGGUUUCUCAUAGCACAAAGUCAUUCAUUAAACAUUAAUUCGAAAUAAUCUCUUACUUUCUUCCCAACUUUGUCGAUGUCCUGGGAUUUAACAUUGCCUUACAAUAAGUUCGUGUGCUUUGUGUGUCUCGUUAGCAGAAAGACGUUUUCAAAGUUUUCUUUCUGAGCAAAAUUCAGAUUGCUUUUAUCCAUCUUUUAAUAUUAACAACUUAACUGUAGUAAAUGUCUCUUUAAUUGAAUAAAAUAAUUUUUGGUUUUUAUGUUUAUUUUUUGCUGAAAACAUGAAAGCCUAGAGAAAGUUUUGGCAAAGAUGCUUUAUUUUAGUCUAUUGUAAGAGGUAUGUGAAAUGUCAACGCAUGAGGAAACAGGAGAGACUAUUUUAUAAAUUUCCACGCAUCAAAUAAGUGACAGGUUUGAGUCAAUCAGUUUAAGAAGUUACCAGUCCAUUGAUGAAACCAUUUGAAGAAAAUGUUUGAUGUUACAGAAGCCAAAAGUUGAAUAAAUUUGUCAUCUGUUUUUCAUUUUAAUUCACCAUUUCAGAAGUAUUUACUGUGUAUUAAAAAAAAUCCUUUACUCUUUCAAAUCUUUUGGACAACCUGGAAAAAUUCAGAACAGUUGAGCAUGUUGCUGUGAAAGCACAUUGCCAGCUGAGUUAUCUUCUGCAUAGCCAUACUAUUUAUGAACUUUAAAUUUGAACAGAAAUUAUCAUCUCACUGUCUAGGUAGCCAGGGCUUUUAAGCAUACGCUGCAAAAGAAAAUAUGAAAAAUAAAAAC